rnacentral:rRNA from 1 species
GACGAACGCUGGCGGCGUGCUUAACACAUGCAAGUCGAACGGUAAGGCCCUUCGGGGUACACGAGUGGCGAACGGGUGAGUAACACGUGGGUGAUCUGCCCUGCACUUCGGGAUAAGCCUGGGAAACUGGGUCUAAUACCGGAUAGGACCACUGCCUGCAUGGGUGGUGGUGGAAAGCUUUUGCGGUGUGGGAUGGGCCCGCGGCCUAUCAGCUUGUUGGUGGGGUGAUGGCCUACCAAGGCGACGACGGGUAGCCGGCCUGAGAGGGUGACCGGCAACACUGGGACUGAGAUACGGCCCAGAGUCCUACGGGAGGCAGCAGUGGGGAAUAUUGCACAAUGGGCGCAAGCCUGAUGCAGCGACGCCGCGUGAGGGAUGACGGCCUUCGGGUUGUAAACCUCUUUCAGCACCGACGAAGCGCAAGUGACGGUAGGUGCAGAAGAAGGACCGGCCAACUACGUGCCAGCCGCCGCGGUAA